CCUUUUUCUUAUUUAAAGAGACAAUAUUUUGAAUUCAUUUCUAAGAAUUCAACCCGUUAUAAAACUCUCGUGGGAGAAUUUUACCACCUAUUAUGACCGGUCCUACUUAAUUUAAGAAUUUAGUCUUUAUAAUUGCGCGCACAAAUUAACCUCUUCACCCAAAGUUGCGUUGAUGGUAGCAUUGUUGAAUGAACAAAAAUGAUCAUUUUUUGUCUUUAUUACAUUAAUUAUAUAGAUAAUAAAUGUUUAAGAUGACUAAACUAAACAUAAUUAAAGCCAACCACUUUGGCAAAUAAAAAAUAAAAAUAAACAUAAAGCCAACCAUUGUAUAUAAUUUUCUAUAAUUUUGAAGUAUGCAUAUCCUAAACCCUAUACCUAAGUUGUCUUCUAAUAAAGGAGGAUCUCGGAGGACCACAUUUACAUGUACGACAAAUGCAUUUUGGAACAUACGGAGGUAGACAAUAAUAGUAUUGACAAUUAGCAUCCUCUUUGCAGUUUUUCCACUCUGUGAUACAAAAAUAAGAAACAAAAAUUACUACAAGAGAUGAAAUAUUUUGUAUAAGAUAAACAAGAAAAUUCAAAGGAUACAAAAAAUAAUUUACCAUUAUUAUCAUUUACAACAAGAAACAAAGAAAUAAAGAAGAUCAUUAAAUAAACAAAAUUAAUAAUUUCAGCCAUAUUUUUCUCCAAAGCUUGCAACAAAUAGCAA
rnacentral:lncRNA from 1 species